rnacentral:rRNA from 1 species
UACGGGGGGGGGCAAGCGUUGUUCGGAAUUACUGGGCGUAAAGGGCUCGUAGGCGGCCAACUAAGUCGGAUGUGAAAUCCCCAGGCUUAACUUGGGAACUGCAUCCGAUACUGGAUGGCUUGAAUCCGGGAGAGGGAUGCGGGAAUUCCAGGUGUAGCGGUGAAAUGCGUAGAUAUCUGGAGGAACACCGGUGGCGAAGGCGGCAUCCUGGACCGGCAUUGACGCUGAUGAGCGAAAGCCAGGGGAGC